GCUUAUACUCGACCGUCAGCGGCACGUGCGAUCGCGCGAGCUCUCGAGCGAGCGCGGUCACGAAGCCCUGACGAGUAGGAGGGUCGCGGCGGUGAGCGCAGAAGGGCUGGCCGCGAGGCCGUCUGGAGCCGCCGUCGGUGCAGAUCUUGGUGGUAGUAGCAAAUACUCCAGCGAGGCCCUGGAGGACUGACGUGGAGAAGGGUUUCGUGUGAACAGCCGUUGCACACGAGUCAGUCGAUCCUAAGCCCUAGGCGAAAGCCGAUGUCGAUGCGGUGUAGUUUUUACGAUAGUAUUAAUACGAAAUUCGACGACGACGACGAAAUAAAUCUUAAUUCGUCUCUCUCGAAUCGUGUAUAACGCGAGAGCACACACCCGUCGGGCGAAAGGGAAUCCGGUUCCUAUUCCGGAACCUGGCAGCGGAACCGUCAAAAAGUCGGGC
rnacentral:rRNA from 1 species